rnacentral:misc_RNA from 1 species
UUGCUUGGCUGACAUGUCUCAUGAAGCGUGUAUCAGAACAUGUAUUUUACUCUUAUUAUAUGCUUCUUUUUUUCAAUUGAUUUGUUCACUGUAAUUAAAUUAUGUUAUUUCACUAUGUUUGAUAAACAGGCAACUGUGUCUCCAACAAAGCCUCCAUAUUGGUCGGAUCCUGAAGCUGAUGAUCCCUUGUAUCUGAUGACAUUGACCAUCCCACAGCUUUUCUUGAAGCCUCUCCAGGUUAUGUGGGAUGCUACCAUGUU